rnacentral:rRNA from 1 species
GAUGAACGCUGGCGGCGUGCCUAAUACAUGCAAGUCGAGCGAACGGACGAGAAGCUUGCUUCUCUGAUGUUAGCGGCGGACGGGUGAGUAACACGUGGAUAACCUACCUAUAAGACUGGGAUAACUUCGGGAAACCGGAGCUAAUACCGGAUAAUAUUUUGAACCGCAUGGUUCAAAAGUGAAAGACGGUCUUGCUGUCACUUAUAGAUGGAUCCGCGCUGCAUUAGCAAGUUGGUAAGGUAACGGCUUACCAAGGCAACGAUGCAUAGCCGACCUGAGAGGGUGAUCGGCCACACGGGAACUGAGACACGGUACAGACUCCUACGGGAGGCAGCAGUAGGGAAUCUUACGCGAUGGGCGAAAGCCUGACGGAGCAACGCCGCGUGAGUGAUGAAGGUCUUCGGAUCGUAAAACUCUGUUAUUAGGGAAGAACAUAUGUGUAAGUAACUGUGCACAUCUUGACGGUACCUAAUCAGAAAGCCACGGCUAACUACGUG